UAUGUCUUGUCUUAAUGAUGUUGAACAAAUAAAUGUAUGUAUGUAGGUGGCCACCGCAGCCGUUAGGCUACGGGAAGGCCCGGCAGGGACACAGGUGGCCUAGGUACUGCUAUAGUUACGAGUCUCGUUAGCUGCUGGAGGCAUCUGUGACCAUCUCCUCAAGCUAACGGUAGCUGCGGUAAACUGCGGCUAGUUACAUACCUACAAGGGCUUUGUGGUCGUCAAAGUAAACGGGGUCUUCUUCUGUAGCUGUUAUGCGCCUCCACGGUGGUCGAUCGGUCAGUUCACGCAGAUGAUGGACUGUAUGACGACCGUGCUGACAUGGCGUAGAGGCCGGUGGUAAACGCCGCUUCAAUGUCUGGGUCGUGGAAUAGAGAAGCCGUUUCACGACAGUGAGGUCAGAUCCUGUGAGAGGCAAUGGCUAUGCUAGAUGUCGAACUGGCUUAUGUCGGUACUUAAAGUACCAUCAGGGGCUGUCCAUAAGUCACGUGGUAAUUUUUGCCUGAACUCGCCCGACCACGAGGUUUAUGGAUGGUGCCUUAUUCGGAACGGAGCGGAGUCGAUUAUCGGCGUUACUUGCUGUAGUUCUGGCCUAACGAGGCCUACACUCCAGUUCAAAGGGUGGGCGAUGGCUACACUCACAGCGAUCACCGGCGGUUCGCUACAGUAUCGACUACAACAACAGUAGACAGCGGGUAGACGAAAAGGCGGCUAGGCGAAGGUCAAGCCCUCGUAGGUGGAAGACAUCAUACUUCGACGAAGCGAUGUUUAGGGAUAUUUGGGGACACUAGAAAUGGGAGACCACCGGCUUGCUGGUGGAUUCAAGUGAUUGCGGACUCACGCCGCGUCUGCCCACGCGCAAGACGACGGAUGCAGCAAGCACGAAUUGAGGAAGAGCGAAACAACGACAGAUGGUGUUCGCCGCUGCAAAAGCCGCGCUGAAGACCGAGAUAAGGGCAAGCCAAGGCCUGCUUCGAGGGUCUCCGUCAGAGUGCUAAUGCGAAUCCGUGGGGUGAUACCUACAGGAUCGGGAUGGUCAAGACGAAAGGUGUAAUGGCUCCUGCACAACAGUCUUCAGAUAUGUUGGAGGGGAUCAUCAAGGGGCUUUUUUCGCGUCAAGGACUCCUUUCGUAGGACAGCCGGGGACUGGGGCUGGCGAUGAUGAGAGCAAGGAUCGGUAUAUUCGCCUUACUCCAUUCAUAUUCACUCCUCUUUGCUGAAGUGAAUCGAGAAAGAUGCAGCAAACGGAUCGUCGUGAUCAAACACGCAACCCCAUCACCAGUGGGAAGCGAUUAGCCAGCUGCUUGACAUGAAUAUUCGUUGCCAUUCGUCGCAGUUUGGAUCGCAAGCGAAUGAAUGAAUGGCGAAUGAUGAAGAAUGCUGGUGAGCGAUCGAAGCGGCUAUUGUCAUAAGUAGAAGAGAAUUUCUGCAUGUAAUGCAUACAUUUUUACUGGAUUGUUGUUGAAAUGCUAGAUUAGCAAACGGUGGAGCGGACCUGGUGUGAUGGUUAGAACACUUGAUUAUCACGCCGAGGACCUGGGAUCGAAUCUCACUCCCGACAAACUCGCAAAAUGCGAGUUCUUCCUUCGGAAGGGAAGUAAAACGUGGGUUCCGAGAUGAAUUGGCCUAGGGCUAAAAAUCUCGUUAAUACUGAUAUAAAAAAAAUAGAUUAGCAAAUAAAAUAACUCGAAAACAUCAAAAAUUCGUAUGCACAAUAUCAAUCGUAUCACUCACGAAUCGCAUUCGCUUGCGAUGCGAAUGUGGACGAAUGAGUAAUUUCCAAGUGUGGCUUCCCACCGUUCGCCGGAGUUUGCUGUCGUCGUUGACAAGCAUACACACGAACUAAAGCGACAACCGUUCGCUGCUGACUGUUUUCGAAUGUGGAAGAAGAUGAAAAGUGGAAAUCAGGAACCCUGGAUGAGAGUGUCACCGAUGAGGAACUUGCGGGGUUAGCAAAGUCCCUUAGCGUAAUUAAGGCCCCAGGUUCGGACGGAUUUCCGAAUAAAAGUAGCAAAGGCUCCCGGGAUGUUUAGGUCUGCUAAAGCAAAUUCCUGGACGAGGGAGUUUUCCCAGAGACUUGGAAGCGGCAGAGCGUGGUUUUAUUGUACCCGUCGGCAUAUAGACCAGAAUGCUUGAUCGACAGGGCGAGCAAGGUGCUCGAAAAGAUCAUCCUCAAUAGAAUGUUGAGGCACACCGAAGGUGUAAAUGGUUUCUCGAGCAAUUGGUUCGGCACCCACCAUGAAACCUCCGUGAAACUCACCUGAGAGUUUCUGAAGCCCCACAAAACCUCUCUGAAACCUCCUGAAACGCCUUGAAACACCUUUGAAACACUAAUGAAAUCCAAGUGAAACGCACUUGAAAGCCUCUGAAGCCCCCUAAAAUACCUCUGAAACCUCCUGAAACGCCCUGUAACGCCUUGAAACGCUUUGGAACGCCUCUAAAACUCCCGUGAAGUUCACUUGAGAGUACAUGAAGCCCCCUAAAAGCCCUCUGAAACCUCCUGAAACGCCUUGAAACGCAUCGAAAUAGUUGACCCUGCCCACCUUCCGAACAAAAAGGAAGUGAAGUGAUAAGGACCACUAGGUAAACUGCCUACGCGCCAGCAUGAUCCCUUGUAGAUUCCCCACAGCGUGUAAUCGAUGUUCUUUGCUGCAGGCUUCGCAGCUUACUUUGAGUACGAUGUGUACUAGUCCCUCUCUGAUACAAUGACUUCUUAGUGGUUCCGGAGAGACAAAGUGUUUGGCGGUCAUGGGAAUGUUGUUUAGUGGGUCAAGGAAGAAGUAGUCCUGGCUUGUACUUUUGUUUUAGAAUACGGUCCCUAACUUCACACUAUCUGGACCUCCCUGUUCAGUAAUCUGCUGAGUAGAUUAUCUCCCCAUGGUUUACAAGAGAGAAGCUUGAACAAUCUUACGGGCCAUACAAAAAUAUUUUGUUUUACAUACAAAAUAUCUAACAAUGGGGGACGGCCCGUCAAAAAAUCCUGAAAGUUUCCAGAAUUAAUAAAUGGACAGCCUCUUUAACGAAUAUUUUAUUGUAAAUGUUGUUCCAAAAACACCGCAAUACCAAACGUAUUCUACACGUAGGGUCUCGAACUACUUGGGCACCCGCGUCAAUUCCCGGCACCUCACUGCAAAACAAAUCAAAAUAUAACUUGCUGCAUAUUUUCCAAACGCACUUUCGUAGGUAAUCAUCUCCCACCACAUUUACGCAACAGGAUCGACAGUCAAUGAGCUACAAUUUCACUCUGAAACCGCAUAAGCGCUCAAAACUUAUAUUACACGCAAACGAGUGCACUUCAGCAGCACAAAGAUGAGUGCCGAAAUGAUUCCCCAUUUGAUUUAGGUGCAGUAAACUCUUUCAAAAUCAACUUUCCGGUAGAAAAUCUUCACAACAAUCACUGUUAACAACAAGUUCACGCAAUAAGGUAUCUGAUUCAGAUGGAAGAAGUGGACGAAAACGGUCGUUUCGUUGUGAAUUUAGUCAAUGAACAAUUUUAUUUACCUGUUGUGCCGGGAAUAGGGUCGAAAACCCUACAUAUAAUUAAAUAUCCGCUCUGACCAAAUGGCAUAAUUAGAUUAAUCUGGGCUUAUGCAACUGAUUGCGCGAUAAUUUCCAAACUGUAGCCAAAAAUCACUUCUAAUAGCUCAUCAGUGCACUCAUGCGAGCAGCUCUGCGCCCAUCGCAUUACGACAAACCGAAGCAAACGGCACAGGGACGGCAUAAAAAUAAACCUUCGAUCUUUUACACCCUUUCGUCGGCUUUGGUGUUCGCUUUCCCGAUGCCCUAACUGGACCAAACUAACAAACUUGGUUUUGUGGCUUAAAUAUACCGAGAAACCCAGCACCACCAGCCACCCAUUGCAUUGAUGGAGAGAGGUGGGGAAAUGUUUGUAAAAAUAGCUCCCUCCACCGAAAGAUAAGACCACGGGUACCACCAAUCGCCGGUUCAUCGUCAGCGCGCGGUCCAUUUUCCUGGCAAUUUCCGUGUGCUUUUUCUCCACCUUGCCUUUUGCUUCGAACAGUCGGUUGAAAAAGAUACCACCACCGCACCGGCUCAGUGCCUCAAAGAUCGACGCGACGAACGACGACGUUGCAUUUUCCACGGUUGAUUUCCUUUUCAUCCUUCUUCCGCCCAUUUCCCGGCUCGUGGCCGGCCACACAGUGAACUCACACUGGGAAUAAUAAAAUUAGUCUAGAUGAGUUUGGCUGACAAUGAAAACCACGGCUUGGUCUCUACUCUAGUUAGUGUUGAUGGGUCAUAAAUUUAAUUAAAUCUUUCCGCUUCUUUUGGCCGAACAACAAGCAUCAAGACGACGACCACGACAACGGCCGCAACCACGUGUGUGAUAACAUCGCCACCGAGAGAUAGUCCGUUCUAGCGUUUCUCGUUUGGUUGCGUUUCUGGGGAAGGUGUUGUAGAAACCUAGGACUGCAGGGCUGUUAACGAUGUUAAAGAAGAAUUCGUAGUAUACCAUUAUUGUUUGAAUGAAAUUGGGUCCAAUAUAGCCGAAGUGGUUGACACCUGAGUCCAUUCUGAGGGUGACGUAAACUUUUUUAAUGCAACUUUUCCAGACUUCCUUGGACACAUAGUAUCUUUGCUAGACUAUGACUAAAUGCACAUGCAAAAUGUACCAUUAGCAGAGCUCUGGGCAGAGUAGACUCGCAGUUAAUAACUGUGCCGGUGCGUAUAGAAAACUAAGCAUAGAAGCAGGCUUUGUCCUAGUGGGGGCGUUAUGCUAAAAAGAAGAAGAAGCAUAUUUGAUCUCAAACGCGAUUGACAUGUAUGUUAAAAUAUUUCCAAUGAAACACUUGAACGAAAUCGGACUAGUAGACGAGAUUUUCGCCAUUGGCGAAUACCAGCCCUGGGGCUGCCAUUUCACUUUCGCUUUCCUUUGUACCUUUUUGAGGAGAGUGUAGGUAAGAUGGUGACAGCCGUGCAAGAAGCUUCCCCCCCUUUCUAUCCGACCGAGUGAUGACGAACGGAAGAAAGUGACAUUUCCCGAGGCGGAAGACACACGACUAUGAGGCGUUACAAAUUAUGGGGUUCUUGGCUGGUGGGUGCCAUUUCAGGUUGUUUUCCUUUCGGUGCUUCUACCAACUCUCCGUUAAGGUGUGACCAUCAAAUGGAAGGUGUGAAACAAUUUCCGUCCGUCAGCAGUAUCUUUCCGAUUUUAUGAGCUCUGGGGAACUCUGCCGUUGAAUGUGCGAUUUAUUUGGUCACAAUGGAGAUUUACCCGCUAAAUCAAAUGAAAUCAUCUUUUAUUGCUCUCGUUAGGAAACCGAAAUCGGUGUGUUUACAAAUUCGGUGUUUCCUUUAGCUCCCUGGUGCAGCGACGUGACAAAUCGAGCGGAACGUGCCCAUGAGGGGAUUUCAAACGGAUUUGCUAAGCUCAAAUGUUUUCAAAAUGUUUAUGUUUUAAUUUUCUGCCCAUUUCGUACCAAUUACCAGCGGCUCAUCGAUGCCAAAAACGGUGUCUCGUUGUGAAAAAUGUUCUCAGUCGGUGAAGAAAACGUAAACGGGGGGCGGCUGCUAUUCUGAUGGAUGAAACUGAGCGUUGCCAAGUAUGUGUGCUCCUCCUGACUAGACGUUACUGACUGGUCAUCAUUGGGCGACGUUCACCGACCGACGACGGUAGAUGACCGCCCGUCCAAGAGUGUCAACUAUGCGAUCUAUUUUAAAAAUGUUCGAAAAAUGUAUUCCACCUUAUUUCAUUUGUGGAUGGACCGGUUCUGACACGAGUGGCCAGUUUGUCAACUUAAGUUACGCUGACGCAUGGUCGAUUGGGUUUUCAAAGGGUUACUUAAAAUUGACUCUGAUUGCUAUCCGAAUUGUUUACAGAUCAAAAUUGGACAAAUAAUUCAAUCCCAAAGAUACUCGAGUAGACGAAAAACCCUCAAUUAUAUCAUAUUCGGAUCGAAAAAGUGAAAUUGAGUAAUUCUCGCUGAGAUCGGUCCACUUUUUUCAACUUGUCUUUAUACAAGUCCUCUUUAGUAAAGUAAACAAAACGUACUUUGUAGCUCAAUUUUGUUGACUUCCCGCUUGUUAGACCCACAACCAUUUCUGCGGACCCUUCGAUUUCUACAAAUUGCUGGCACAAUAAACUGUUAUUACUCGAAAGCUUCUUCAGAGAACCCGGAAAAACGAAAUGUUAUUGAAAAGAAGAAAUAUAGAGCUACUAUUUGCAGUUUAUCAAUUACCUAUUCAGGAAAUACUUAACAAACUAUAACUUUUUUUUGAUAAAGUGCACCAACAAUUCUCAAAUUUUGACUGCUUGUUCUUCAACUAGAGCUUUAAUAGAGACAAAUUUUGGCUUUAUUGUUUAACUUUACGGUUUUUGGAUUUUUUUCUUAUUCGAGUAUCGUUUUUAAAUUACUAAAUCAUAGUAUUAAUUUUCGAAUGAGUGUAAUCAGUUUCGUACCUUUUAAUUCCGCCCUAUGUUGCUUAUCCUUUGACAGAUACGCGUAUUUCGACUAUCAGUGUAUUUAUGCCAUCUCUGGUGGCUACCGCUUCUGAUGUAUAUGCAGAAGGUCCUGGGUUCAAUCCCUGGCCCAUCCCUUUCUUCCUACUUAGUAUCUUUCUAAAUACUUUUUUCCUCGUCUCUCCAUAUACAACUCAUGUAUGUUCACAUGUUCAUAGUUAUCGCUAGAACAGAAACGGGUUGGUAAAGCCGUUUCCCUUACUUUCAAAACUUUCACAGCACAGUAUCAAUCUAUCAGAUAACGCCAACAAGUAAUGCAAUCAAGCGAACUGUGCCGCACAUCUUCAAUACACAAUUCUAUCACCUUACCGUGGCAUCCACGCACCAAUGUUUGAACCCUCUACCCACCAUAUCCCACCAACACUCCGACAUCCGACAAAUACAAAAAAAAUCCACGGGCACACCCUAGAAUUGAGCCUUUGGGUGAGAAGAAUAAGCUGUGAAAGAUUCAUCAGGCCAAAUACAUGGGAAAUUGGAUGACCUCCAGUUCCUCGGUUAGCACGUCGGUUUGUCAAGUUAGAUUUGGCACAGAAUGUAUAGCAGUUGAUACUGUAAGGGACAAGUUUGAAGAAGAUCAUACAUACCAAGGUAAAACUUAAUUAGGUUGCGGUUUUAGGAUACGGGAGGAGGAUGAGGAUCUGAACCCUCUUUAACUCGCGAUUGUUCCAAGUUUCAGCGCGAAAUCAUAGGCAGCUAAGUUUUUCGUCUUUGCAAUUGCUCGCGCGCGUGAACGGGUAUCUAGCCAAAUGAAGAAAAGCAUAGCUGCCUAUGAUUUCACGCGCAGGCUUCGGACGAUGAACAUGUGCUGCAAUGCAACAACCGAGAGUUAACGAGGGUUAAGAUCCUCAACCUCCUUCUGUUGGCUGAAACGGCAACUGCAUUAAGUUUUUCCGUGGUAUGGUGAGUACCAGCUGCCGUGGUUCCUUAGAGUAUCAGCUGCCAUCUAUUACAUUCUGAGCCAAAUCUUGACAAACCGGCGUUAAAGUCACCCAAUGUCCCAUAUAUUUGGCCUGAAAACCCCAUAUUUGAAAUCGUUUGCGCCAGCUCAAUUUUAUACCGAUUGAGCUGAAGCUUUCACAUGUAAUUCUACUCACCCAAGGGCGCAAUUCUAGGGGUUAUCCCGUGGAUUUUGACUAUUUCUUCUCUUCAUACAAAUCUUCAGUGGACUGACGAUGCCUGUUGGUCUUCGGUACCUGGUGGUCUGGCGAUACUGGAGUAGCAUCUACGGGCGGUCAAUUAAGCUUAAGACCAUGCUCAAGAUAUCUGCAGUCGUUACAGUUGUUAUUUUCGCCAUGUACUACACAAUUACAUAUCCAACAUUAAACCAAGACCUCAUCGAAAGUGUAAGAACUCCAGUAAGGUAUUUUAUAAUGCUUUUGAGAUGGUACAGCCCAACUAAACUAAUCCAAAGAGCAGAUCUGCAUAUCUAUACUUGUAAAAGUAUCUUUAUUCGCUACACUGAGAAAAUAUGUUGACAUAUGCGCUCACUAUUUUGAAAAAAAAUGCAUGUUAUAUAUUGGGUUUUUCAUCAAUGAUUAGACAUCUGUGAAAAUUUGAAAACCCACUUAAUUACCAUUUCGCAGCUACAUUUCACACUAAUCAAACUUAUUUCGAUUAACAGUAGCGCAGCGGACGACCCUGUCAUGAACUGUCAUGCGAACAUGUGUACGUUGCCACUGCGAAGUCGAGUCGUGUGCAAAAUUCGACUGUGAUAAUAAUAAUUUGGGCAGAGUCCAAUGGGUGCAAAUAUCGCAAUAGUUUUGGGAUACUAUAGUCAUCCAAAAUGUUAUGGGGCUUAGUACUUAUAAUCUACUGUCAUAACAUUUGUUGCUUGCACUGUAAACGGUAUCGAUACACCUCCUUAUUCAAAUUUCAAGUGUCAUUCCAAGAUCCAUUUGGGUUGAUCCAGCUCAUCUUAUCUUCCGUGGAAUUUAGAACUUCUUGUCUACACUUGCAACUGUAGCCUUAUCUGCUACACUGAAAAAUGUUGAAAAACGACACAGGUCGAAAAAAGAGUGUAAAAUUCUGCGGCAUAUGAUGCACAUAAUUGGAGCGUGGAAUAUCACAGAAGUUUACAUGACGUAUCAUGUAAAAGUAAUUAAAUAUCAUGUAAACUUCCAUUAUAUGUCAUGUAAUUCAUCAUGACUCUGAGUAUUUACAUGACAUAUAACACAAAUUUACAUGAUGUAUCAUGUAAAUCAUCAUAACACUAAGUUUACAUGACUAAAAUGAAGUUUACAUGACGUGUACAUUUCAUUAUUUUUAUCUGUGUACCCAGUUUACAAUAUUUCUGACGUUGUUCUGCAAUGGGGCGUACAUAGGGAAACGAAACCCAUCUUAAAUAUAGUGCUUCCAUUUACAUGCUAUCCUAAACAAAGCUUUUUUGUGAACAGUUUUCACGGAUGCUGUCAUUCUCAGUAACACUCGUGCCUAAAUAAUAACAAACCGGUCAGCAAAACCACAAGAAGUGUAGAGACUAAAAUUACUCGUGAUUCUUGUGCUACUGGCCACCUUCGAAAAAUGCUAAUGAUCUUCUUCUUCUUCUUCUUCCCAGCGUGUCUGGAUGAUCACACCCUAGUGUCCAGCGUGUCCGAAAGACCGCGUCCCAAUCCACAGCGUGUCAGGAUAAACGCACUAUUACUUGUACAAGAAUUUGUAUCUCAUGACGACAGUUUAGCCACUAACGUCCAAGAGAUUGAGGAGGAGGUUGGCCGGUUGAAAAACAACAAAGCCGCUGGAGCAGAUCAACUACCACGCGAACUUUUAAAAUACGGUGGAGAAGCACUGGUUAGAGCUACACUGGAUCAUUACCAAGAUUUGGGAGGAGAAAAUAUUACCGGAAGGAUGGAUAGAAGGUAUCGUGUGUCCCAUCUAUAAAAACGGCGACAAGUUGGACUGCGGGAACUACCGCGCGAUCAUACUACUAAGCGCUACCUACAAGAAACUCUCUCAAAUUGUAUGCCUCCAUCUAUCACCAAUUGCAAUAGAGUUCGUGGAGCAAUAUCAGGCUGGAUACAUAGGUGAACGCGCUACAACGGACCAGAUGUGAUCGCCAUCCACCAGGUGUUGCAGAAAUGUCGCGAAUACAACGUGCCCACACAUCACUCGUUCAUCGGUUUUAAAUCAGCGUAUAAUACAAUCGAUCGAGACCAGCUAUGGGAGAUUAUGUACGUAUACGGAUUCAUUGCUUUGGAGUGUGUAAAAAAGAGAGCGGGGAUAAACACAGGUAAAAUGGUUUCCACGAAGUCCAUUCAGCUGCUUGGUUUCGCUGAUGAUAUUCAUAUUAUAGCUCUAAAAUUCGAGGCGAUGGUGGAAACGUACAUCCGACUAAAGAAUGACGCCAGGCGAAUCGGAUUAGUCAUUAAAGUGUCGAAUACAAAGUACAUGAUGGCAAAAGGCUCUGGGGAGAAAUUACCGCGCUCGCCACCCCCAAUUUUUAUCGAAGGUGAUGAAAUCGUGGCGGUUGAAGAAUUCGUGUACUUGGGCUUACUGGUGAACGCCGACAACGACACCAACAGAGAAAUUCAGAGACGCAUUGUGGCAGGAAAUCGAGCUUAUUUUGGUCUCCGUAGAACUUCUUCGAUCGAACAAAGUUCGCCGUCACCCGAAGUUAACUAUCUACAAAACGCUGGUUAGACCGGUAUUCCUCUAUGGGCACGAAACAUGGACUCUACGUGCAGAGGACCAACGCGCCCUUAGAGCUUUCGAUAGGAAGAUGUUGUGUACCAUCUACAGCGGAGUGCAGAUGGAAGACGGGAAUUGGAGGAGGUGAAUGAAAAUGACAUGUAUUUGAGGGGGUGACCCCAAACUUUUAAUCGGGAGUGUAUUAGUCUAGGGCCAGUGAUAAACAACAACCCGAUCAGAAAGGCAUAACAAAAGUAUAACCGAUUGAGUUAUUUAUUUCAAAGAUUUUUCAUAACAGAAUGAGUUAUAAAAUUCGCCGGUUAGGUGUUAAAAUAACAAAAAAUAUAACUAAAAUUGCUCUAGCCAUAACAUAAUUAUAACAGGUGUUGAUACAAUUUUAUCAAAUUUAUAACAACGUGAGAUAUAAUAAAUAUUGGAAUGAUCAAAAAGUUAUAACACAUGUUGUUAUAAAUUAGAUAUAAAUAUAUUGGGUAAAAAUUGAGUUGGGUAAAUUUUAACUCAUUUUUUGGGUAAUUUUUAUUAAGAGUGUUAUUUAUUUUUAGCGAAACAUUUUUUGUAUAAAAAACUUGCCCUAUGUAGUAUAUAAAAAACCCUCACCCAGACGGGAAUCGAACCAAGGACGCCAGCCUUUAACUGCAAUCCGGCGCCUUUAUCAAUGAGACCAUUGCAGCACUUGGAAGUGAAGGGCGGUAUAUGAUCAAGUGGUUCUUCGUUUUGGCGGCUGGUCUAUAAAUAGACUCAUUCGUCCAACGUACAGGGGAGAGAAAAUAUGACGUCACAUAAAAGUGUUCUUAAUACAGUUGAUCGCAAUUACGUCAUCUUAGGAUAUAAUAACAAAAGUGGAUAUAAUUUGAUUAUAAUUGUAACUCAAUAAUUUGCUCUGCAUUUUGGCAUGCUUUAUCUCAUGAUUCAGACCAGAAAUAAAUGUCGUAUCUUCAUCAAAGUUGUAGAGAUAGUUAAUGGCUAAACAGUGAAAAGAGUGGUAUACAAUUUCACCUUCUCUUGGUGCUAGCGAGCAAUUAAAUCAGAACGUUUCGAAGUUCCUGCCUAUGGCAAAGUUAUGCAGUAGUCUGGUGGUUUAAAAUUUCACCGCAUCGUGGCGUUAGUGUGCAUUUCUGGAGAUUGUCAGAUUUAGAUGGCUUGUAAAAUAAAAAAAUGCAGUGUUUAAAGCACAAUUUCAACAUUACAUGGUACAAGAAUUGACAUACUAAAGCAAUUCUGUGGCGUAUGCUUUGCCUGUGAUAUCAUAUAAUGUUUUUAUUUUUAGCAAAAAUAGUUUAAAUAAGAAAUUCCCCCACUAGUUGAAAGCACGAGUUCGGCAUUUGCUUCGGUAUUUGCUCAAGAUGCAUGACGAUGUCCAUCAACACAUCGGUAAAAAAGAAAUAGCCUUCUGCUAUUGAUUGGUUUUUUAAAAGCUUUCAACAGUAUUUCUCAUUUUGAACUACUGUACAGAUUAUCAUAUCUAUUUGUUUUCAGUUGAGAUUCUGUUUCAUUGAGUAAAUCCUAUUUGAAUAACUGCUUUAAAAUUUGGGAAGCUAAAGGAAAUCAUUGAAGCCCGAUCGGUGGUACUCUUUCGGGCGUGCCACAAGGAUCGGUUUCAGGACCAUUGAUGUUAGCCUUAUUUAUCAACGACCUUUCUUCAUCUUUAAGUAUGUAAUAUCCACACCACAUGUUUGCAGAUAAUAAGAAGCUGUAUUUCUACUGAAUUAAUAUGGACGUUAAUUGCAUGGCAAUGAAACGUGACUUACGACAUGGCGUGACCAAAUUAGAUAUAAAUUUCAAAGCUCCACAAAUUAUUUUGUUAUUAAUCAAUUCUUCAAAAACUAAGGUGAUUUUCUUUUGCAGGCGACUAAUUGUUUCAGUUGUAUCAUGCUAAUUCAAUAACAAUGAUAAUUAUUUUAAUUAAUUUAGUAAAAUAAUCUUGAAUGGGACUACAAACUGCAAAACCUAUGGAGGAUUGUGAAACUUAAAACUUACUUAACAGUUUCAAUGAAAGUCAUCUUUUUCAUAUCCAUUUUGUUGCCUCAUUUAUCAUAGCUUCAUGUGACCUUUUGAGAGUUGUAUUAACCCUAGUAAAAAGUUGGGGUCAAUAUGAUCCAGACAAGCACGCUGAACGUACGCUACGCCUUCGUGGUGCAAAAGCCUAACACAUUAGGAGGGUUAAAUCAGUGCAUACGUUGGGCAUUAAAUUUUACUAGAUACUCUUAGAGUCCCUAUAAUUAGAGUCUGGCGGACUGUCACUUUCGACCGGAGCCAAUCGAGCAUGACGUCAUAGUGUCCUCACCGAUAAAUGCUACAUCGUGACGUCAUGCUCGAUUGGCUCCGAUCGAAAGUGACAGUCCGCCAGACUCUAACUAGACUGACUCUAGAUACUCUGUGUGGCUCACCUACAAUGACAACUGCUGGGAUACUCAUUUCUUAUUUUUUUUUAAGUACGUUGCUGUGCGAUGCUACAUACUUAGUUGAGCUCGGCUAAUUUUCAUACUUACAUACAGCCGAUUGCUCGGCAACCUAAAUUUAACUGAAAUAUCGGCAAAAAAUCAAUUUUAUUCAUAGCAGCACCCAUGGGUGCCGCUGGCAUCAAACUUCAAACGUCAAAUGUUUAGCCGAGAUUCAGCAAAUGAACUUUAACCGAGAUUUGCACAGCCGAUCUCGGCAUUCUGUUUUAAGUGUAUAUAUAGAAUCAUUCGCUAAGGACCUAAAAUCAUCACUAAGAUACUGAUGAUCUUAAGGCUUAAGCAUCCGUCAUCAUUUUUCGGAAAAUAAAAAGCAGUUUUCUCGCUGUAAAUCAAAACAUCGACCAUGAAAAUAUAUUCACUGCAUUCUAUUAAUCAUGUGGAGUACAGUGAAUAUGAACGCGACAAUAUCCAUCUGAGCUUUCUUAAAAGUUUGGAUCAUGAUUCAAACAUGUCAAAAAUACUGCAUUUGUUUAUUUAAGGUUUGAAUUCCAAUUUGUGUUAGUGAAUUUGAACCUAGAUAUUCAAAAAAUCGAUUUUGAACUUCCAAUAAGGGAUGACCCUGAAUCUAAAGUUUUGUUUUGUUUUAUCUGUAUUAACAAGAUGUUUAGCCCUAGGCUAGUUCAUCUCGGGACCCACGCUUUACUUCCCUUCCGAAGGAAGAACUCACUUUUUGCGAGUUUGUCGGGAGUGGGAUUCGAUCCCAGGUCCUCGGCGUGACAGUCAAGUGUUCUAACCAUUACACCAGGUCCGCUCCACUAUCUAAAGUUGUUGGUUAUUAAAUGUUCAAGUUAAGAACUCUUAAAUAGCUCAAUAAAUGACUACCCUUCGUGAUAUUGAACUGUUGUACUAAAGAAGGUCCACUCUGACUGAACAUAAAAAUUGAAUAUGGUAAUCAUCAGGGUAAUGACAGGAACAUCAAAUUUCAAACUUCCUGCUCACAUUAUAUACCACUCCUAUUAACUGUUGUCCUACUUGGUCAUCUUUUAUUCAUCAAAUAUGUGAAAACUUGAGUGCAAACUGUAGUUGGUUGUAGAUUUUCCAAAAAUCGUUCACUCAGACUGGACUAAGUACAAUCAAUUACUUAGCAAUUUCUCGGUUUCAAGCUUUAUUUUACAUGUUUUCACGAUCAAUACAGAGCGAUGCUUUUAUGAAUAGUUAUUAAGGUUUAUGGCAAAAAUUCAAGAACAUUUGUUGAAAAACUCAAAACUUGUAGAGUUGCUAACUUUAAAGUCGUUUUUCUAGAAAUAUGGUUAAAGAUACAUGGUCCUCUCUGACUUAACGCCGACCAAAUACAAGUAUGUAAAUAAAUAAUUUUAAUGAAUAACCUGAAUUUUCUUAAAGGUCUGGAUCAUGAUUCAAACACAAGCGCAGUAGCACCACACAGCGGCGUAAUUGCGUACCAAAUACCACAUGAAAAAUAUUCAUUUGACAUAAACUGCAUUUUCAAAACUAUAACUGAGUUUGUUAUAAUGUUCAUAUAAAGAUGAUCAAAAUAUUUUUUUUGUAUUAUAACUGACCUUGUUAUAAUUCUGAUAUAAUUAAAUCAGGUUUUCAGGUUAAUUUUUGUCAAAUAUAUCUAAAUAUAACAAACGUUGAUAUAUCUAUCAACCGCUGAUAUAAUUCUGUUAUAUUUUUGUUAUGCCUUUCUGAUCGGGAAUGGUUUGAGUUUUCUCCUUAUUGCUUCAAGUUUUUUAUCAUUUACUGUCUUCAGCAGAAGCUGUACAGACUUAAUAACUGUUCUAUUUACCUAUUGCUGGUUUUAAACUUAUUUCUACGAAUUCCAAAUUCAAAUUAUUCAACAAUACUCAAGUUGAUUCAAUGUCUGCUUGAACUUUGUUACCAAGACUUUCAUGCUGUAGUAUCGCCACCAUCACACGCGCAAAACAUUUCUAAGGCAUAUACCUACUGGAGUCACUGCAGCGAUAAGCAACUUUUACGAGCAUCACCAUUCAGCACCCAUGCCGUAUCACAUACACACAUACGCUUGGACAGAACAGCUAGGGAAAGGAAACUAUAGAUAAAACCUUAUCAAAAAGUCGUUCCAUUUCUAUUUUUGCACUUACUUGCGGUUUCAACCCGCGCGUCUUAAUUCAGAUAACGAACCAUGCCGGCCCGGUAUGCAUGCAGGAAGACGCCUGCGUGUGACCAUGAUUCAAGCUGAUAUCGAACCUUGGUGGGUGUACUACAUGUUCAGUUUCUGGUUCAGUAACUCACCUGUGUAUACAAAAAAAAUGUCCAAGUUUUGUGAAACUUGGACACCAGAGUUUCUAAUACUGGUGAUGACAGAUUUACGCCGCAAUGUAAACAAAUUGCAUUAUUCCUCUCGUAUAAUCAGCAGUAUAGUAACGAUAUAAAGUGACGUCACCCUUGGGCAUAGCAAAUUGUACUCAAUCAAUGAAGUGGAGUGUUAAGAACGACAACGCUUAGCGGCACGGAAGGCAGGCGAUCUAUCAACACAACUGGACCGGUUAAUGUUCGUCACCUCGGAUAGGGCUUACUGACUGAGAGUGUUACAUUCAUAACCGGUUGAAUCACGGUAUAUGAAUAAUAAUCACAAUUACCGUUGUGAUUCUAUUUGCGCACUCUUUUCUAGGCGGCUCUAGGGGGCUUAUAAUGUCAAGCUGUUGCCCAACUGUCAAAAGGUGAUAUAAAAAUCUUUGAAAUUGAUUUUAGGUAUCAAAAUAAAGUUCCUAAAAUUCGGAAAAAAAUCAAGUGUCAAAAAAAAGUGCUCUUUCUAUUAAAUUCUAAUUUUUUCAAAAUUUAUAAACCUAAUUGCCAGGUAACCAAACAGCUGUUCAUGUGUAAUCACUUAUUGCUGCCUUAAGUCGGGGUGAUAGUUGUUCAGGGGCGCCGAAUUGUCACAGCGUGGGUCGCUAUCAGUAAGCAACGAGUGGGGGCUUAGUUGACGUUUAUUUAGUCAACGGAAUAGCAUUUUUAUCUCUCACUCAUGGCAUGUCGCGCCAGUAUUUACCGGUAUGCGAUGAACUUGAGAAUUAAGACAGCAUUGGACGAACGAUUUUGAAGACUGCAUACUGCAAUCAAA